rnacentral:rRNA from 1 species
GAUGAACGCUGGCGGCGCGCCUAACACAUGCAAGUCGAACGAUUAAAGCACCUUCGGGUGUGUAUAAAGUGGCGAACGGCUGAGUAACACGUGGGCAACCUGCCCCUCUCAUUGGGAUAGCCACGGGAAACCGUGGAUAAUACCGAAUACUUCGGGACUUCCGCAUGGAAGACUCGAGCAAGCUCCGGCGGAGAGGGAUGGGCCCGCGGCCUGUUAGCUUGUUGGUGGGGUAAUGGCCUACCAAGGCAAUGAUGGGUAGCUGGGUUGAGAGACCGACCAGGCAGAUUGGGACUGAGACACGGCCCAGACUGCUACGGGGGGCAGCAGUGGGGAAUCUUGCACAGUGGGCGAAAGCCUGAUGCAGCGACGCCGCGUGCGGGAUGAAGGCCUUCGGGUUGUAAACCGCGUUCAGCAGGGACGAGGCGAAAGUGACGGUACCUGCAGAAGAAGCCCCGGCUAACUACGUG